GUGAAUCAUCGAAUCUUUGAACGCAAAUUGCACUCUCUGGUAUUCCGGAGAGUAUGCCUGUUUGAGGGUCAGUAUAUAUAUAAAUCGCAGUGGUUGCGGCCUUUCUUGGUGACGUACCGGAUUUGGGUCGUCUUGCCUUCGGUUAAGUGAUCUAAAAUUCUGCAUGAUUUUUGCGAACGUAUUUAAAUGACUUUACGUACGUUUGAGAGAUCGAAUACUGGGUGUGGGCAGCAUCAUGAUUCGUGC
rnacentral:misc_RNA from 1 species